CAGCUCUGUACAGAGCCCUCCAGCACUGGCUAAUUGUUUAACCUAAGUCCACCGUGAUUGGAUGAGUACCAGCUUGACAACAUGAUCUGGUUUAGUUUCUUCAUCAGAAGCUGAGGCCACAGGGCAUCACCGAGAAUCGCAGCUACGUUACUUUCUUAUGCUCUGUACGUGACCCUCUCUGCUUCUCAACAUAAGGAAACUAAUUUGCACUUGGCAUCUCUAAAGCAGUUCACAUGGCUGAGAUAG
rnacentral:lncRNA from 1 species